AGUUUUUGGCAUCACUUGAGUCAGCUACAUCCUCAAAUGAAACUAAAAAAUUUGCCUGCUGAAUCAUUAAAUUACUUAAUUUAUUCACUGAACAUAUGAAAUAAUCAAAUUAUUAAAAAAUAACUAUAUUACUUCAAAAUAAUUCAAAUUUCCAAACAAAAUAAACAUCCAAACAUGGCAUCAAUGGAAUAUGCAAGAUAUUAUAAAACAAUGCAUUAAAAUUAAUAAACACACACACACAAACACGCGGUAUUGAAUCCAUCUAAUUUUCAGGUAAGAGCUGGCGCGGCCAUUUCUAACUUCAGUGUGUCUGGCUUCCGGUGUCAUUCACAACAGUGUUUAUGCUUACUUCACGUGCCUUUGGAAUUAUCGUAAAUACGAGUUUCCUAGCACGUGAAGGCAGCAUCAGUAAACGCCAUCCGUGCGACAACGGCUUCUUUUAAUGAUAUUUGGCGCUUUUUGUGACCUCAGUGCUUCGUGAUUCUCAACAGACUCUUUUACCGACAGCGGGUCAACUUUGUAAAAACAGCAAAUGUGCAGUGCCAUGUGUAAGGGGAUAUAGUGUAUUGGAGGAAGGAAGAGGAAAGAGCAUGCCUCACACAGGUUGAUGAGAGUGGAUCAUGCUGGAGAAUAUGGUGCCAACUGAAACCAAACCUGACAGUUAUUACACAAUGGUAACGUUUUUUGUUUUUUUUUUUGGAAGGAUUAAGUUGUUAUAUCAUUUUUUUUGUUUGUUUGUUUUUUAGAAAGACCAAGUUCAGUGAGGUCUGAUGUAUUUAGGGCAAAGAUCUUGAGUUUUCGUUGAAGGGCGUUGUAUAUGCCAUGAAAUACCAAACAUACUAGAAACAUGUUAAAUCAUGUAACACUUGGCUAAGUGCUAAUGUAUGUGAUUAACGCCACAAAACAGGAAGUUGUUGUAACUCAGGCAUACAAUGUCUGAUCUGCUCCAAACUUUACAUGUUUGAUAAUACUCCUGGCCUAAAGACAUCAACAUGGCAAUAUUCAGUUAUAGUCAAAGCGCCACCUGUUGGCAGCAGAAAGUGUGGCACAUUGAAAUGACUUGCCAUAUUUCAACUGUAUUUACUCGCUUACAUGCAUGUCGCCCACUAUUCCUAAGGCCACCGGGUGGAGGUGCCCCGGG